rnacentral:rRNA from 1 species
UGGGGAAUCUUAGACAAUGGGCGCAAGCCUGAUCUAGCCAUGCCGCGUGAGUGAUGAAGGCCUUAGGGUCGUAAAGCUCUUUCGCCUGUGAAGAUAAUGACUGUAGCAGGUAAAGAAACCCCGGCUAACUCCGUGCCAGCAGCCGCGGUAAUACGGAGGGGGUUAGCGUUGUUCGGAAUUACUGGGCGUAAAGCGCGCGUAGGCGGACAUUUAAGUCAGGGGUGAAAUCCCGGGGCUCAACCCCGGAACUGCCCUUGAUACUGGGUGUCUUGAGUUCGAGAGAGGUGAGUGGAAUUCCGAGUGUAGAGGUGAAAUUCGUAGAUAUUCGGAGGAACACCAGUGGCGAAGGCGGCUCACUGGCUCGAUACUGACGCUGAGGUGCGAAAGUGUGGGGAGCAAACAGGACUAGAUACCCCAGUUAGUC